rnacentral:lncRNA from 1 species
GCCGGGGGCUGCAGGCCUCGGCGGAAACCUCGGCUCCACGCCGCGGCCAGCGCCUACCCGGCAUCCUCUGGGGCGCGUCUCUGGGCCGCGGGCUGCCCCCGCCCCAGGCUUCUCCGCGCCGUCCCCCCCUAUUUACAAUUCCGUUUCCAUCCAACCGCGGUCCGCCUGGUCCCCCCGAGAGGCCGUACCACUCCGGCAGCGGGGGGUACCUUGGCGGGGACGCGCGGAGGGCUUCUCCAGGAGACCACCCUGCAGAGUCGCUCUUGGGCCACACAGGGGUGGGAAGCAGAGGUUUGCGUGGGGGGCUCAGGGUCGCGGGCCUCAGGCCUCUUCGUCCCAGUCUCGGGGCCUCCGGCCACGCCUGCUUCUCCCCCGCGUGGACACCUUGGUCGGCGCCGGGGAGCGCGGCGUGCAGUCCUCUGUGCGCACGCGCCGACCGCCCAGCCGUGCGCGGAGCCCGGCGGAGCUCGUCUGGGCGCGUCUGUGCGCAUCUGGGUGGCGGCGCAUGUUGCCAUCCAGGGCCAUGGCUCUCGCCGUCCGAAUGGUUUACUGGGGCUCUGUCCCCCUCUUCUCCUGACUACCCUCUCCUGUUCCCCUCCAUCUCUCCCCCUCCCCUCCCUGGAUCUCUGCCUGUCCUUGCCUCUCCCCUCUGACCCUGUCUCUUGGACUCCCCCCACCAGUGGCGCUUGAGGCUACAAGCCCAAGUAUAUUCAGCUCAAGAAGAGGUUAGAAGAUGAGUUCCCCGGCUGCCUAGACAUUGUGAGUUGUGGGGAUGGCGGUGGGGUGGUUGAGGUCAGCGCAGCCCUCCUUGCUUGUUCCCAUUCUCCAGAAAUAGGAGGUGUCCCCAAGAGGACAUCACGGCCCCUCCCGACCUCUCUCUCUCUCCUCAGAGUGGCGAGGGGACCCCCCAGACCACCGGGUUCUUUGAAGUGAUGGUGGCAGGGAAGUUGGUUCACUCCAAGAAGGUAUAUCUGUCUGUCCGUCCUGUCUCUUUUUUGGGCUUGUGUGGGGCGGGGGCUGAGGUUGGUGUCCUGGCCCCAGCUCACCCCUGCCCUCUUCUCCCCAUCCCAGAGAGGCGAUGGCUUUGUGGACACGGAGAGCAAGUUCCUGAGGCUGGUAGCUGCCAUCAAAGCCGCCUUGGCUCAGGGGUAGAUGGCCCCGAAGGCAGAGUCCGGCAGCCUCGGCCCAGCCGCCCUCGGCAGACGCUCCAUGAGGGGAAGGACCUAAAUGCGUCGUGGACGCCUGGUCUUUCCCUGACGCUCCUGCGCCUGCCGGAUGGGGCAGAGGUCGACGCCCCUGGUCUUCGCCUGUGUGUGUCCUGGAAAUCUGUUUACACCUGCUGCCCUCCUGACCCCCACUUGUGCCGUCCCCCUCAACUC